AUCUUCACGGUGGAUUGCAAGAAGCAACUUAGAACAAGAGGAAGAAUUACACAAGAAGGCAACCUCGAGAAAGAGGUGGCUUGCACUGGAUAAUUAAUAAGUAUCAAAAGAUCAUGAUUAAAGAGGAUGGACCGUUGAAGACAACAAGCCUGAUUUUUGCUGUACGUCCUCUUCAUCUCCUCUCCCCUGCCCAACCUCCAGGAAAGAUCAUUACAAACACUCGGAGUACCCACCAGGUAACCAAAUCAAGAUCUGUUCUGCAGAAGAAAACUCAGCCAGCUAAUCCCCCAAUUCUGCGAACCAUAGCCACCAGGACUCCCACAAAGCACAACUGCAUUCGCCCUGCACGUCUUGCCAGUGCUGCUCCUUAAUUGGCCAUGAAUAGUUACAGU